GAUGAACGCUGGCGGUAUGCUUAACACAUGCCAGUCGAACGGACUCUUCGGAGUUAGUGGCGGACGGGUGAGUAACGCGUGAGAAUCUGGCUUUGGGUUCGGGACAACCACUGGAAACGGUGGCUAAUACCGGAUGUGCCGAGAGGUAAAAGAGAAAUUGCCUGAAGAUGAGCUCGCGUCUGAUUAGCUAGUUGGUGAGGUAAAGGCUCACCAAGGCAGCGAUCAGUAGCUGGUCUGAGAGGAUGACCAGCCACACUGGGACUGAGACACGGCCCAGACUCCUACGGGAGGCAGCAGGGGGGAAUUUUCCGCAAUGGGCGAAAGCCUGACGGAGCAAUACCGCGUGAGGGAAGAAGGCUCUUGGGUUGUAAACCUCUUUUCUUAGGGAAGAACAAAAUGACGGUACCUAAGGAAUCAGCAUCGGCUAACUCCGUG
rnacentral:rRNA from 1 species